GCAAAUAAUUUAGUGACUUAGGCCUCGGCCUGGGAGGCUGAGGCAGGAGGAUCACUUAGCCCAGGAGUUGUAAACUGCAGUGUGUUAUGCUGAUCAGGUGUCUGCACUAAGUUUGGCAUCAAUAUGGUGAUCCCCUGGGAAUGUCGGGGAACCCCAAGGUUGCUUAAGGUGAGGUUAACCUGCCCAGGUUGGAAACAGAGCAGAUCAUAACCAGUGCUGGUCAGUAGAGGGCUCACACCUGUGAGUAGCUGCUGCACUCCAACCUAGGCAACACUGCCUCU
ensembl:misc_RNA Metazoa_SRP Metazoan signal recognition particle RNA